rnacentral:miRNA from 1 species
GGAUGUCCAACCUGCGGGCCCCCAGAUGUUGCUGAACUACAACUCCCAUAAUUCCCAGGCUAUCUUUUUAAUUGAAAGAAUCAUGGGAGUUGUAGUUCAGCAACAUCCAGGGGGAUGCAGGUUGGACAGCC